AGUUGUCCUUGACUGCAUGGUUUCUGCUGGUCCAAGCAAACUUCUCCUGCCACGCCUAACCUUGGAGAGCAGGUACCCAAGCAAGCCACUCCUCAGGCAUUUUCCCCACAACUAGAAAUCCAGAGGCUUUGGAUCUUGAGAAGAACAUGAAGGAAAGAUGCCAGGAAGUACAGUCUGGUCUGCUGAUGAUGAUCAAUGGAGGAAGUGUUUCAUGGUGGACAUGGGAAACUGGCCAGAUCAACUGCUGUCACCUUCUAAAGAGAGGGUUUUGCCAUGUUGCCAGGCUGGUCUCGAACUCCUGGACUCAAGUGAUCUGCCUGCCUCAGCCUCCCAAAGUGCUGGAAUUAUAGGACCCAGACGGGGAGGAGGAAUGCCAGAGAAGCUGCAGACUCUCCGGCCACGGAGCCUGAGUGGAGCAGAGGUGGCCCACUGUCAGCCACAGGUCAAGUGUCAGGGUGGGGACGGGGCAGGCUCCACCAGAAGGCGGGGGCAGGCUCCACCAGAAGGCGGGGCCAGACCACAGGGCAAGGUGGAGAUGAGUCUGUGGCACCCCCAGGAAGUUUACCAGAUUUGCCCCAG
rnacentral:lncRNA from 1 species